GAUGAACGCUAGCUACAGGCUUAACACAUGCAAGUCGAGGGGCAGCGGUAUCGAAAGCUUGCUUUCGGUAGCCGGCGACCGGCGCACGGGUGAGUAACGCGUAUCGAACCUGCCUCAUACUCGGGAAUAGCCUUGCGAAAGUAAGAUUAAUGCCCGGUGUUUUCAGAGUCCCGCAUGAGGCUUUGAACAAAGAUUUAUCGGUAUGAGAUGGCGAUGCGUCCCAUUAGCUUGUUGGCGGGGUAACUGCCCACCAAGGCAUCGAUGGGUAGGGGUUCUGAGAGGAAGGUCCCCCACAUUGGAACUGAGACACGGUCCAAACUCCUACGGGAGGCAGCAGUGAGGAAUAUUGGUCAAUGGGCGGAAGCCUGAACCAGCCAAGUAGCGUGCAGGAAGACGGCCCUCCGGGUUGUAAACUGCUUUUAGUUGGGAAUAAAACGGGGCUCGUGAGCCCCCUUGCAUGUACCAUCAGAAAAAGGACCGGCUAAUUCCGUG
rnacentral:rRNA from 1 species